rnacentral:lncRNA from 10 species
AACGGAAAGGAAUGCAGUGGAGUGGAAUGGAAUGGAAUGGAGUGGAGUGGGAAUGGAGAAUGGAAUGGAAUGCAGUGGAAUGGAAUGGAAUGGAGAGGAGUGGAGUGGACUGGAGUGGAGAGGAGUGGAGUGGAGUGCAGUGGAUGGAAUGGAGAGGAAUGGAAUGGUAUGGAAUGGAAUGCAAUGAAGUGGAGUGGAGUGGGGUGGAGUGGAUUGCAGUGGAAUGGAGUGGAAUGAAAUGGGAUGGAAUGGAAAGGAGUGGAGUGGAGUGCAGUGCAGUGGAGUGGAAUGGAAUGGAAUGCAAUGGAAUGGAAUGGAAUGGAAUGGAAUGCAGUGGAAUGGAAUGGAGUGG